rnacentral:rRNA from 1 species
ACGCCAGGGAAUUACGAGCAAUGCUUAAAACCCAAAGGACUUGACGGUGUCCCACCCACCUAGAGGAGCCUGUCCUGUAAUCGAUGAUCCCCGCUAUACCCAACCAUUCCUAGCCAUUCAGUCUGUAUACCUCCGUCGAAAGCCUACCAUGUAAACGUCCCCAGUAGGCUCAAUGACACCAUCAACACGUCAGGUCAAGGUGCAGCUUACGGAAUGGAAGAGAUGGGCUACAAUUUCUAAAUUAGAACAAACGAAAUACUAUGUGAAAUCAUAGUAACUGAAGGUGGAUUUAGUAGUAAAAAGAAAAUAGAGAGUUCUUUUUAACCCGGCUCUGGGACGUGU